rnacentral:rRNA from 1 species
AACGAACGCUGGCGGCAUGCCUAACACAUGCAAGUCGAACGAAGGCUUCGGCCUCAGUGGCGCACGGGUGCGUAACGCGUGGGAAUCUGCCCUUUGCUUCGGAAUAACAGUUAGAAAUGACUGCUAAUACCGGAUAAUGACUUCGGUCCAAAGAUUGAUCGGCAAAGGAUGAGCCCGCGUAAGAUUAGGUAGUUGGUGGGUUAAUGGCCUACCAAGCCGACGAUCUUUAGCUGGUCUGAGAGAGUGAUCAGCCACACUGGGACUGAGACACGGCCCAGACUCCUACGGGAGGCAGCAGUGGGGAAUAUUGGACAAUGGGCGAAAGCCUGAUCCAGCAAUGCCGCGUGAGUGAUGAAGGCCUUAGGGUUGUAAAGCUCUUUUACCCGGGAUGAUAAUGACAGUACCGGGAGAAUAAGCUCCGGCUAACUCCGUGCCAGCCGCCGCGGUAACAC